AACCCCGGGAAACUGGGGCCAAUCCCCCAUAGGAGAAGGGUGCUGGAAAGCCCCUUCUCCGAAAGGGACUGCGGCCGAUCCGCCGCAGUCUGCCCGAGGAUGGGGGCACGGCCCAUCAUGGUAGUUGGCGGGGUAAUGGCCCGCCAAGCCGAAGACGGGUGGGGGCCGUGAGAGCGGGAGCCCCGAGAUGGGCACUGAGACAAGGGCCCAGGCCCUACGGGGUGCAGCAGGCGCGAAAACUCCGCAAUGCGGGAAACCGUGACGGGGCCACCCCGAGUGCCGCCCGAAGAGGGCGGCUUUUGCCCGGUGCAAAAAGCCGGGCGAAUAAGCGGGGGGCAAGUCUGGUGUCAGCCGCCGCGGUAAUACCAGCUCCGCGAGUGGUCGGGGUGCUUACUGGGCCUAAAGCGCCCGUAGCCGGCCCGGUAAGUCGUCCCUGAAAUCCACGGCUCAACCCGUGGGCUGGGGACGAUACUGCCGGGCUUGGGGGCGGGAGAGGCCGAGGGUACUCCCGGGGUAGGGGCGAAAUCCGAUAAUCCCGGGAGGACCACCAGUGGCGAAGGCGCUCGGCUGGAACGCGCCCGACGGUGAGGGGCGAAAGCUGGGGGAGCAAAGGGGAUUAGAUACCCCUGUAGUCCCAGCUGUAAACGAUGCGGGCUAGCUGUUGGGCGGGCUUAGAGCCCGCCCAGUGGCGGAGGGAAGCCGUUAAGCCCGCCGCCUGGGGAGUACGGCCGCAAGGCUGAAACUUAAAGGAAUUGGCGGGGGGGCACACAAGGGGUGGAGCCUG
rnacentral:rRNA from 1 species